UACAUUUGAUUCGCUUUAUGGUAUCUGAAUAAUGUCGCCUUAGGCGGAGUUCUGUGAGCACAGUGAAUGGCUGGGGGAUGUGUCAAUCUUGCGCUGCACCUGCAGCCAGCUCCCCCUCUCAACUCCCGCCCCAGCUCCCAUCAGCCAAUGGAUAGCCUCGACCUCUGACAUCAGCUGUGAUUGUCUUGGAGAAGGAAAAAAAAUGCAGCGUCAGAAGAACUAUGGAUAAGGAAACACAGUUAUGAUAAGGAAACACUGCAGCAUGUCUGAACGACCGAAGUCAUGGUCGAUGUCGAAGGGGAAUGACCUUCUGUGGGGUUCACUGCUCGAGGAUCUUAAGCUCUAGACCACUAGACGCAAAGUUCACCCGUGAGAAUGUGACGGACUAGCGUUACCAGUGUCUCACAGCGAUACCAGUGCCUCUCACCCCACCCGUUACAGUUGCUUCAGGAAGAUGGAGAUCCUUGCAGUUUAGGCUAAUAAAUAAAGUCAGUGGACUUGCAGUUAUCUCCAGAACAUGAACCUGCACUGAGAAGGGGAAGCGGCGCCCGCGCCGUGCAACCUCCUGAGAUCCCCACCACUGAGGGAUGGACCACUAGCCUCACCAGGACCGCCAGAGGAAGCGACCGUCUCCUGCCCCACCAUGUUCUUGAGCAGGAUGGUGUAGACGCCCGUGUCUGAGCGCUCGGACAUGGGGAUGAGGAGCUGGGAGCCACUGUCUGAGUUGGUGAUGGUCACGUGUUUGGACACGGGAACACCAUCCUUC